UACGGAGGUGGCAAGCGUUAUCCGGAUUUAUUGGGCGUAAAGGGAACGCAGGCGGUCUUUUAAGUCUGAUGUGAAAGCCUUCGGCUUAACCGGAGUAGUGCAUUGGAAACUGGUAGACUUGAGUGCAGGAGAGGAGAGUGGAAUUCCAUGUGUAGCGGUGAAAUGCGUAGAUAUAUGGAGGAACACCGGUGGCGAAAGCGGCUCUCUGGCCUGUAACUGACACUGAGGCUCGAAAGCGUGGGGAGCAAACAGG
rnacentral:rRNA from 1 species